UGGGGAAUUUUCCGCAAUGGGCGAAAGCCUGACGGAGCAAUGCCGCGUGGAGGUGGAAGGCCUACGGGUCGUCAACUUCUUUUCUCGGAGAAGAAACAAUGACGGUAUCUGAGGAAUAAGCAUCGGCUAACUCCGUGCCAA
rnacentral:rRNA from 1 species